CGAGCUCUGAAAACGUUGGAGCCCCUUUGCAGCUGAGAAACGGGUGGUGGGGGCUGCAUGGGGUUUUUGCUGGGGUUUUGUGGGGCUGGCAGCUGGGCCCUUUUGCUGCUGUUUGCAUGUGGACAGGCUGUCACCCCCCAAAGAUUUCUCCCACCUUAUCCCCUGUGCUCAUCCCUUGCCAUGCAAUGUGCUGGGAGUGUGUUCCAUGAGGGGAUGGUGGAAGGGAAUGAAGACAUCAGGGCUGGCAGGUUGCAUGGGAGGCAGCGUGGGACAAGUCUUCCCUCUGGAGCUCAGUGCUCUGAUCAGCCACAGUUAAUUAGCAGGGUCAGAUAGGCCAGUGCUCCCAAAAGAGGAGAGGGAAAACCUCUGCACCAUUGCAUUCCAUAUGCACCAUUGGGAUGCAUUCCUUGCACCAUUGCACCAUUGCAUCCCAUGUGCACCACUGGGAUGCAUCCGUUGCAUCACUGCAUCCCAUGUGCACCACUGAGAUGCGUCCCCUGCACCAUUGCACCACUGCAUCCCAUGUGCACCAUUGGGAUUAAUUCCUUGCACCAUUGCACCACUGCAUCUCAUGUGCACCAUUGGGAUGCAUUCCUUGCAUCAUUGCACCACUGCAUCCCAUAUGCACCAUUGGGAUGCAUUCCUCGCACUAUUGCAUCCCAUGUGCACCACUGGGAUGCACCCCUUGCAUCAUUGCACCAUUGCAUCACAUGUGCACCAUUGGGGUGCAUCCCUUGCACCAUUGCACCAUUGCAUCCCAUGUGCACCACUGGGAUGCAUCCCUUGCACCACUGCACCACUGCACCUCAUGUGCACCAUUGGGAUGCAUCCCUUGCAUCAUUGCACCACUGCAUCCCAUGUGCACUACUGGGAUGCAUCCCUUGCACCAUUGCACCACUGUUCCUCAUGUGCACCAUUGGGAUGCAUCCCUUGCACCAGUGCAGCACUGCAUCCAAUGUGCACCAUUGGGAUGCAUCCUUUGCACCAUUGCAUCCCACAUGCGCCACUGAGAUGCAUCCCUUACAUCAUUGCACCACUGCAUCCCAUGUGCACUACUGGGAUGCAUGCCUUACAUCAUUGCAACAUUGCAUCUCAUGUGCACCACUGGGAUGCAUCCCUUGCAUCAUUGCACCACUGCAUCCAAUGUGCACUACUGGGAUGCAUUCCUUGCACCACUGCACCUCAUGUACACCACUGGGAUGCAUCCCUUGCACCACUGCACCUCAUGUACACUACUGGGAUGCAUCCCUUGCACCAUUGCAGCACCGCAUCCCAUGUGCACCACUGGGAUGCAUCCCUUGCAUCAUUGAACCACUGCAUCCCAUGUGCACUACUGGGAUGCAUCCCUUGCACCACUGCACCUCAUGUGCACCAUUGGGAUGCAUCCCUUGCACCACUGCACCACUGCACCACUGCAUCCAAUGUGCACCAUUGGGAUGCAUGCUUUGCAUCAUGACACCACGACAUCCCACGUGCACCAUUGGGAUGCUCAGAGCAUCUCUUGCUCCAAGGAAGCGUUGGG
rnacentral:lncRNA from 1 species